rnacentral:rRNA from 1 species
UACGAAGGGGACUAGCGUUGUUCGGAAUUACUGGGCGUAAAGCGCACGUAGGCGGAUUUGUUAGUCAGGGGUGAAAUCCCGGGGCUCAAUCUCGGAACUGCCUUUGAUACUGCAAAUCUCGAGUCCGAUAGAGGUGGGUGGAAUUCCUAGUGUAGAGGUGAAAUUCGUAGAUAUUAGGAAGAACACCGGUGGCGAAGGCGGCCCACUGGAUCGGUACUGACGCUGAGGUGCGAAAGCGUGGGGAGCAAACAGG